rnacentral:tRNA from 14 species
GACACUGUACAAUAAUUUUGAAAAGGGAUGUAGCGCAGCUUGGUAGCGCGUUUGUUUUGGGUACAAAAUGUCAC